rnacentral:rRNA from 1 species
UACGUAGGGUGCAAGCGUUGUCCGGAAUUAUUGGGCGUAAAGAGCUCGUAGGCGGUCUGUCGCGUCUGCUGUGAAAACUCGGGGCUUAACCCCGGGCCUGCAGUGGGUACGGGCAGACUAGAGUGUGGUAGGGGCAGAGGGAAUUCCCAGUGUAGCGGUGAAAUGCGUAGAGAUUGGGAAGAACAUCGGUGGCGAAGGCGCUCUGCUGGACCAUAACUGACACUCACAGGACGAAAGCUAGGGGAGCGAAUGGG